GAUAAACGCUGGCGGCGUGCUUAAUGCAUGCAAGUCGAACGGUCCUUCGGGACAGUGGCAAAUGGGUGAGUAACGCGUAAGUAACCUGCCCCUAAGUGGGGGAUAACUCCGGGAAACUGGAGCUAAUACCGCAUGUGAUGGCCCUUCAACAGAAUGGCUAUUAAAACCUUCGGGUGCUUGGGGAGGGGCUUGUGUCCGAUUAGCUUGUUGGUGAGGUAACGGCCCACCAAGGCAAUGAUCGGUAGCUGGUCUGAGAGGAUGAUCAGCCACACUGGGACUGAGACACGGCCCAGACUCCUACGGGAGGCAGCAGCAAGGAAUAUUGUGCAAUGGGCGAAAGCCUGACACAGCGACGCCGCGUGGGGGAAGAAGGCCUUCGGGUCGUAAACCUCUUUUCUCAGGGAAGAAUAAUGACGGUACC
rnacentral:rRNA from 1 species